UGUAUGUGUCACUGCAAACACUGGCACACAGAUGGGCUCUUUGGACUGCAGCCCAUUUCUCCCUUCCACUAAACUUCCACAACUCCCUUCCACUAAAUGGUGGCACCUAUUGAAGAUGACACAUGCUGAGGACUGAGUUUAGCAACCACCAGCCAUGUGCACAACUCUGUAAACACAGAGAGAUGGAGCAGAUGACUUGGCCACAGAAAUCUAAGGAGAGGAACUGGCAGGAGCAUGUUCUUCAGCCCAGAGGCCCCAGAGCCCACCCAAGAGAAGCUCAGGACACCAUCUGAUAAUGCAGGAGGUCUGGUGCCUUUCCUCAACAUCUGAGCUGAAGAGGUCUAUCUCAGAACACACUCAGCACGAGAAAAUGGCCUUCGGGGUAUUGAGCAAGAUCUCCCACCUGUAAUCCAACAGGCACUUCAAAUAGCACAGUCACAUGCUGCCACGUGACUCAAGGGGCUGCACAGAAUCUCACCACCAAGAAAUGUGUGAUCUGAAGCUGCACUAGGACGUGAGAUAAGUGCUUUGGCUGUAACCACUGUAACAUCACAUUAACAUCAUUCACACUAUGCAGACUCCAAAACACAGGAUCUUGUUUGGGAAACGGUUUUGUCCUACUGUGAAAAUAUUUCCUAUGAAAUGCUCAUGUGUCUGUGCUGAAAUAUCCAUCCUGAACCUCCCAGGCUCUUUGAAAGCAUCUAAAGGAAAUUGUGCCUCAGCAGCAGGGUGAGUGCUCCAUGCAGAUCCAGUGGCCUCUCAAAGCCACAAAAGAGCAAUGUUGUUCUUGAUGUCAGCAUCAGCUCUUCUAAGGGAAAUGCUCUCAAGGUCCAAAGGUAACAGAGAUGUCACAACUGAGGAACCUUGGUGCAGCAAUAAAAGUGGCCCUCAGCUGACUCUUUUCUUUGGUCUCAGCAGUGUGAGCUGGAGCUGUGGCUCUUGCAGCCAGGCUCAGGACCCUUACCAGUGAAUUCAGGGCUUGCAGCAUCUCAGCACUGCCAUGGCAAUGCAGAGAAAAAAGUGGAGUUAGGACAGGCUUGGUCUUCCAGAAGUGGUCACAGGACUGGCACUUUCAAUGGCCCAGAAAAAGAAACAAUUCAAUGCAGCAGAGUUUUCUUUGUAUGUAACUGGGCCAAGCAUCUCAUAAAAGGACAGUGAUGGAUCUGUUGCUCUCUGUCCUUCUUGGUCCCAAGUUAAAGAGAAAAUUUCUUUGGUACAUGCUCUCACCAAGGCAACAGAAAAUAUCUGGUGGGGUCUGAAUCACACAUAUGGCAGAUACUUGGAAUGCAGCUUUGGAACAGGCAUUGCUAUGGUACAGAGAUAAGAGCUGGCUGGGAUGAAAAGUAGUAG